rnacentral:rRNA from 1 species
UACGUAGGGUGCGAGCGUUAAUCGGAAUUACUGGGCGUAAAGCGUGCGCAGGCGGCGCGUUAAGACAGGUGUGAAAGCCCCGGGCUUAACCUGGGAAUGGCAUUUGGGACUGCAAGGCUUGAGUUCAGGAGAGGAAGGCAGAAUUCCCGGUGUAGCGGUGAAAUGCGUAGAUAUCUGGAGGAAUACCAGUGGCGAAGGCGGCCUUCUGGACUGACACUGACGCUGAGGCGCGAAAGCCAGGGGAGCAAACGGG